GACGAACGCUGGCGGCGUGCUUAACACAUGCAAGUCGAACGGAAAGGCCCUGCUUUUGUGGGGUGCUCGAGUGGCGAACGGGUGAGUAACACGUGAGUAACCUGCCCUUGACUUUGGGAUAACUUCAGGAAACUGGGGCUAAUACCGGAUAGGAGCUCCUGCUGCAUGGUGGGGGGUGGAAAGUCUCGGCGGUUGGGGAUGGACUCGCGGCUUAUCAGCUUGUUGGUGGGGUAGUGGCUUACCAAGGCUUUGACGGGUAGCCGGCCUGAGAGGGUGACCGGCCACAUUGGGACUGAGAUACGGCCCAGACUCCUACGGGAGGCAGAAGUGGGGAAUAUGGCACAAUGGGCGGAAGCCUGAUGCAGCAACGCCGCGUGCGGGAUGACGGCCUUCGGGUUGUAAACCGCUUUCGCCUGUGACGAAGCGUGAGUGACGGUAAUGGGUAAAGAAGCACCGGCUAAUUACGUG
rnacentral:rRNA from 1 species